rnacentral:rRNA from 1 species
UACGUAGGGGGCAAGCGUUGUCCGGAUUUAUUGGGCGUAAAGAGCGUGUAGGCGGCCAGGUAGGUCUGCUGUGAAAACUCGAGGCUCAACCUCGAGACGUCGGCGGAAACCAUCUGGCUAGAGUCCGGAAGAGGAGAGUGGAAUUCCUGGUGUAGCGGUGAAAUGCGCAGAUAUCAGGAAGAACACCCGUGGCGAAGGCGGCUCUCUGGGACGGUACUGACGCUGAGGAGCGAAAGCGUGGGGAGCGAACAGG